UCGAGAAUCUUUUGCAAUGGGCGAAAGCCUGACAAAGCGACGCCGUGUGAGUGAUGAAGGCCUUCGGGUUGUAAAACUCUUUCGCUUGGGAACAAGGAUGAGGGGAGAAUAUCUUUUCAUUUUGAGGGUACCAGGUAAAGAAGCACUGGCUAACUCCGUGCCAGCAGCUGCGGUAAUACGGAGGGUGCAAGCAUUAAUCGGAUUUAUUGGGCGUAAAGGGCGCGUAGGCGGCGAGCAUAGUCAGAUGUGAAAUUCCGAGAGCUUAACUCCGGAGCUGCAUUUGAAACUGGUUCGCUCGAGGGUUGACGGAGAAAAUGGAAUUCCAUGUGUAGCGGUGAAAUGCGUAGAUAUAUGGAAGAACACCAGUGGCGAAAGCGGUUUUCUAGUUAAUACCUGACGCUGAGGCGCGAGAGCAAGGGGAGCAAACAGGAUUAGAUACCCCCGUAGUCC
rnacentral:rRNA from 1 species